UUGUAGACCAGAAAAAGAAACGGAAACUUUUCAAAGUGCACCUCUAAAGCAAAACCAACUGCCCAAAGAUUCUUCCGGAAAGAAAAAAAGUAAAGAUACCAGUUGUGCAAAACUGCAUUGUACAUCAGAAAAAGUAAUGAAAACAUCCGUAAAUGCGCCUUUAAAGAAAAACCAACUGCCCACAGAUGAUACCUGCUCUCCUGCCACAACUGUGACUACUUCAACCGAAUCUGUGGGACAGAAAAAGUGGAUAUUUAUUGAUGAUUCACCUGUUAAAGUGAAACAGAUUAAACCAAAGAAAAAGUUAUUUUUAUGUGAAAACUAAAAUAAAAUGCACGAAAGGCGUCGAAUACUUCCAUUCAAUGGAAACAACCAGGAGCAAUUAAGUGGUACUUUCCAGAGCCAUUACAAAAGAAUAUGGUGUCCAGCAAACGAAACAUGGAUCACGGAAUAGUAGGAAAACCUACGCUACUUUUAAAAUCCGAUUUAAAUGUGUUCUUUAUAAUAUCGUUGUCAUUGCGCAACCUGUUUUUUAAAUUUAU